CCGGUACUUGAUGAAUAAGCCCCGGCUAAUUAUGUGCCAGCAGCCGCGGUAAGACAUAAGGGGCAAGUGUUAUCCGGAAUUAUUGGGCGUAAAGGGUGCGUAGGCGGUCUAGUAAGUCAGUGGUGUAAUGGCAACGCUUAACGUUGUCCGGCUAUUGAAACUGCUAAACUUGAGUUAGAUAGAGGCGAGUGGAAUUCCAUGUGUAGCGGUAAAAUGCGUAAAUAUAUGGAGGAACACCAGAGGCGUAGGCGGCUCGCUGGGUCUUAACUGACGCUGAGGCACGAAAGCGUGGGGAGCAAACAGGAUUAGAUACCCUGGUAGUCCACGCCGUAAACGAUGAGUACUAAGUGUCGGGUUAAACCGGUACUGAAGUUAACACAUUAAGUACUCCGCCUGAGUAGUACGUACGCAAGUAUUAAACCGGUACUGAAGUUAACACAUUAAGUACUCCGCCUGAGUAGUACGUACGCAAGUAUGAAACUUAAAGGAAUUGACGGGACUCCGCACAAGCGGUGGAUCAUGUUGUUUAAUUCGAAGAUACCCGAAAAACCUUACCAGGUCUUGACAUGUUUUUGCAAAAUGAUAGUAAUAUCGUGGAGGUUACCAGAAACACAGGUGGUGCAUGGUUGUCGUCAGCUCGUGUCGUGAGAUGUUAGGUUAAGUCCUAAAACGAGCGAAACCCUUAUCGUUAGUUGCCAGCACGUUAUGGUGGGGACUUUAACGAGACUGCCAAUGAUAAAUUGGAGGAAGGUGAGGAUCACGUCAAAUCAGCAUGCCCCUUAUGACCUGGGCUACAAACGUGAUACAAUGGCUGUUACAAAGGGUAGCUGAAACGCAAGUUCUUGGCCAAUCCCCAAAAACAGUCCCAGUCCGGAUUGAAGUCUGCAACUCGACUUCAUGAAGUUGGAAUCGCUAGUAAUCGCGAAUCAGCAUGUCGCGGUGAAUACGUUCUCGG
rnacentral:rRNA from 1 species